rnacentral:rRNA from 1 species
GUGCCAGCAGCCGCGGUAAAACGUAGGAGGCGAGCGUUAUUCGGAUUUACUGGGCGUAAAGCGCGUGCAGGCGGCUUCGUAAGUCAGGCGUGAAAUCUCCCGGCUUAACUGGGAGGCUGCGUCUGAUACUGCGGAGCUAGAGGUCGGGAGAGGGGAGUGGAAUUCCCGGUGUAGUGGUGAAAUGCGUAGAUAUCGGGAGGAACACCAGUGGCGAAGGCGGCUCCCUGGCCUGUACCUGACGCUAAGAUGCGAAAGCGUGGGGAGCGAACGGGAUUAGAAACCCCGGUAGUCCACGCCGUAAACGAUGCGGACUAGGUGUGGGAGGUAUUGACCCCUUCCGUGCCGUAGCUAACGCGUUAAGUCCGCCGCCUGGGGACUACGGCCGCAAGGCUAAAACUUAAAGGAAUUGGCGGGG